rnacentral:tRNA from 1 species
UGGGGUAUCGCCAAGCGGUAAGGCAUCGGCCUUUGGAGCCGACAUUCCCAGGUUCGAAUCCUGGUACCCCAACAA